rnacentral:rRNA from 1 species
UACGAAGGGGGCUAGCGUUGCUCGGAAUCACUGGGCGUAAAGGGUGCGUAGGCGGGUCUUUAAGUCAGGGGUGAAAUCCUGGAGCUCAACUCCAGAACUGCCUUUGAUACUGAAGAUCUUGAGUUCGGGAGAGGUGAGUGGAACUGCGAGUGUAGAGGUGAAAUUCGUAGAUAUUCGCAAGAACACCAGUGGCGAAGGCGGCUCACUGGCCCGAUACUGACGCUGAGGCACGAAAGCGUGGGGAGCAAACAGGGAUUAGAAACCUAGUAC